CCUACGGGAGGCAGCAGUGAGGAAUAUUGGUCAAUGGGCGCGAGCCUGAACCAGCCAAGUCGCGUGAAUGAAGAAGGUCUUCGGAUUGUAAAGUUCUUUAGUCAGGGAAGAAGUCCAUGACGGUCCCUGAAGAAUAAGCUCCGGCUAACUACGUGCCAGCAGCCGCGGUAAUACGUAGGGAGCAAGCGUUGUUCGGAAUGACUGGGCGUAAAGGGUGCGUAGGCGGUUGUACAAGUUAGAAGUGAAAUACCCAGGGCUUAACUCGGGUGCUGCUUCUAAAACUGUAUGACUUGAGUGCAGUAGAGGUGAGUGGAAUUCCUAGUGUAGCGGUGGAAUGCGUAGAUAUUAGGAGGAACACCAGAGGCGAAGGCGGCUAACUGGACUGCAACUGACGCUGAGGCACGAAAGUGUGGGGAGCAAACAGGAUUAGAUACCCCAGUAGUC
rnacentral:rRNA from 1 species